GGAGUUUGGACCGUGUCUCAGUUCCAAUGUGGGGGACCUUCCUCUCAGAACCCCUACCGAUCGUCGCCUUGGUGGGCCGUUACCCCGCCAACAAGCUAAUCGGACGCAUCCUCAUCCAUCGCCGAUAAAUCUUUACUGCCCGCGAGAUGUCUCACAAACAGACCAUCGGGCAUUAAUCUUUCUUUCGAAAGGCUAUUCCCGAGCCAUGGGUAGAUUGGAUACGUGUUACGCACCCGUGCGCCGGUCGCCGACAAAGAAAGCAAGCUUUCUUCUCGCUGCCCCUCGACUUGCAUGUGUUAAGCCUGUAGCUAGCGUUCAUC
rnacentral:rRNA from 1 species